rnacentral:rRNA from 1 species
UACGUAGGGUGCGAGCGUUGUCCGGAAUCAUUGGGCGUAAAGCGCGUGUAGGCGGCCAGGUAAGUCCGUUCUGAAAGCCCGGGGCUCAACCCCGGGAGGCGGAUGGAUACUGCUUGGCUCGAGUCCGGAAGAGGCGAGUGGAAUUCCCGGUGUAGCGGUGAAAUGCGCAGAUAUCGGGAGGAACACCAAUGGCGAAGGCAGCUCGCUGGGACGGUACUGACGCUGAGAC